AAGAGCUCAAUGACUAGUAGAGAAAUGAGGUGGGUACUCCAGACAAGUAGGAAUAUAAUGUAGGUUUGUUUAAGAUGAUAUGAGAACCAGAGGAGGAACACCAUGAACUCUGUCUGGGAGGUUUCACUAUAAUCUCCCAAUGGAGAUAAUGUUAAAGUAGACCAUCAAAAUCACCUUGGAAAAUUAGGAAUCUGCUAGAUGGGAGAAAGUUUAUCUUAUGCAGAAGAGAAAACUGCACAUAAUCAUCAAGAUAUGAAAUAGAAUAAAAAAAUCCUUAUAUAACUAGAGUUUCAGAUCCAAACAUACAACAUUGAGAGACUAGGGUAAAAGAACAAUGAGAAUCAGAAAAUGAUUACAACAGUAUGGAAAUUCCUCAGAAACCUAAAAAUAGAACUACCAUUAAUCUAGCAGUCCUAUUCCUGGGUGUAUAUCUGGACCAGAACUGUAAUUCAAAAAGAUAUACACACCCAUAUGUUCAUAGCACACUAUUCACAAUACCCAAGAUAUGGAAACGACCUAAAUGCCCAGAAAGAUGAAUGGAUUAAAAUGACGUCACACACACACACACACACACACAUGCACACACACGCACCCACAAUGGAAUACUACUCAGCCAUAGAAAAGAACAUAAUAACGCCAUGUGCAGCAGCAUGGAUGCAACUAGAGAUUCUCAUCCUAAGUGAAGUAAGUCAAAAAGAGAAAGAUAAAUAUAUGCUAUCACUUAUAUGUGGAAUUUAAAACACUGCGCAAAUGAACCUACAUACAGAACAGAAAUAUACUUACAGACAUAGAGAACAGACUUGUGGUUGCCAGGGCUAGAGGGGAGAUGUAUUGGGAAUCUGGAAUUAGUGGAUGCAAACUAUUAUAUUUGGAGUAGAUAAACAAUAAGAUCAUUUUGUAUAGCACAGGGAACUAUAUCCAAUCUCCUAGGAUAGAUCAUGAUGGAAAAUAAUAUUAAAAAAAGAAUGUCAUAGUUCCUUUUCUGGCUCAGUGAUAAUAAAGCUGACUAGUAUCCAUGAGGACCUGGGUUCAAUUCCUGGCCUAACUCAGUGGGUUAAGAAUCUGGCAUUGCUGUGAGCUGUGGUGUAGGACAGAAGUUACAGCUCUGAAUUGACACCUAGCCUGGGAACUUCCAUAUACCACAAGUGCAGCCUUAAUAAUAGUAAGCAAAAAAAAGAUGAAUGAGAGAGAUGUCAUAUCAUGCUAAGUAUGGGUUUUAUUCUAUACGUAAUGAGGCAUCAGUGCUAAGUUUGUCUCUUGCUUUUCAUUUGUUUAUUUGGUUUGGCCAAACUUGUGGCACGCGGAAAUUCCUGGGCCAGGGAUCGAAACCAUACCACAGCAGCAACCCAAGUUGCUGCAGUGAUAACAACUAGAUACUUAACCCAUUGUUCCACAAGGGAACUCCAAGUUUUCCUCUUCUAAUUUAAAUGGGAAAGUAACAUUUUUUAAGGAAAGGUAAAAUUUUUAGAAAGUCAUAAAAUCUUGAAAAAGGGAAAUACAAGGAAACAUUUAUUGUAAUAUAUGGAAAAUUGCCAAAAAUAUGAUAGUACCACCUACUCUCAUCUAUAUAAUACUAGGGACUUAAUGAUGCAAAAAUUAGCAAUAAAGAUUACAAGUUCAAAUAAAAGUUUCUAAGUCCCUUCUUAGAGACUUGGUUUCAAAUAAUGUUGCAUAAAAAAUUGAAAAAUUGGGCUACAAAAUUGAGUAAUUAUUUCUGCUAUGAACAAAGGCUCACCAUCAUAAUAACAGUUCCAGGUUGGAAAGCACAAUAAAAAAUACAAAAAUUGGUGAUAAUCAGGGCAUCAAAUCAUCUAAGGUAGAAAACCAAAGGAAAACUACUUUACAUGCAUGAUUUCAAUAACAAUACAACUUGAUUUUUUAUUCAAAAUUGUAUUUUACUAUAACAGUUAAUGAAUUCUUUUCCCUUGAUAUGGUAGCUAUGAUAAUUGAGGACAAUAUCUAAAGCAUAGUAAAAAAUGUGAACUUCAGAAUAAAUUUAUCCAGCUCUUUUGAGUCAAUAAUAAACAAUUUUGAAGAUGGUGGGGGCAUGUUCCCUAUAAGGAGAAAAAAUAAUUUUAAUUAAUUAGCAUUUGAUUUGGGUGUUAUUUUCUAUGACUCUCCUUUGUUUUUUAAUUUCUACCAUAUGUUUAUUAUCUUUUAAAUUGUCUUUGAUAAAAUUUAAUUAGCUGAUAUUUGUAAAGCUGUCUAAGGAUGGGCUUUGUAUAAUUACUAGGUUUUUUUAAAUUAGUAAGUAUCAGUAUUUUCUCUGUAUGCUUGCUGCAUUGAAGAACAUUAAUUUUUAAAAUUGCUUUAGAAGCAAUGCUGAAUAGUUAUGUUGUGAGCCACACAGGCAGUCCAGAUUGGUACAACCACUAUGGAAAACAGUAUGGAGGUACCUCAGAAAAAUAAAUAUAGAACUACCAUAUAAUCCAGCAAUCCCACUCUUAGGCAUAUAUCCACACAACUUUCCUUGAAAUAGACACAUGCACCCAUAUGUUCAUUGCAGUACUAUUCACAAUAGCCAAGAUACGGCAACAACCUAAAUGUCCAUCGACAGAUGAAUGGAUUAACAAGAUGUGGUAUAUAUACACAAUGGAGUACUACUUAGCCAUAAAAAAGAACAAAAUAAUGCGAUUUUCAGCAACAUGGAUGGAACUAGAGCCUCUCAUACUAAGUGAAGUAAGUCAGAAAGAGAAAUACAAAUACCAUAUGAUAUCACCUCUCUCUGGAAUCUAAUAUAUGGCAUAAAUGAAUCUUUCCCCCAAAAAGAAAGUCAUGGACUUGGGGAACAGACUUGUUGUUGCCAAGAGGGAGGGAGUAGGAAUGGGAUGGACUGGAAGACUGGGGUUAGAUGCAAACUAUUACAUUUGGAAUGGAUAAGCAAUGAGAUCCUGCUGUAUAGCGCAGGGAACUAUAUCUAGUCACUUAUGAUGGAGCAUGAUGGAGGAUAAUGUAAGAAAAACAAUGUAUACAUAUGUGUGACUGGGUCACUUUGCUGUACAGUAGAAAUUGAAAGAACACUGCAAACCACGUAUAAUAGAAAAAAUAAAAAUUCAAAAAAAAAAAAAAUAAAUGAUGAUAAUAAUAUGAAUUUCAUGAGUAAAAACCCAUUUGGUAAGUAUCAGUUGUUGAUUAGGCAUUAAUAGCAGAAGCACAUGUUUCUCUUCUCUCUCUGGAAUAAUGUUAGUUGACCACCUCUAGACUCUAAAGUUCUGGCAGCAUGGUGCUGUCUAAUUGCCCCAGAGCUAAAAUAACUGGCACACAUAUACUAUUACAUUAACUAUACUGAAGUGUUUUAAAGUAAAUAAUACGCAUUUUAACAAAUGUGCUGGAAGUAGCAUAGAAUUUUGAAAAAAAGUCCAUUUAGCAAAUACUUGCUGAGGUAUGUAAUGUUUUGAAAGUGAUUUAACCUCCUGUGUCCUAAUGAAUUCAUCCAUAAAGAAGAGAAUAUAGUAAUACAUAUUUCAUAGAAUUGUAAUGAGAAUUAAUUUAAUUUUUGCAAUGUGCUUUAUAAAUGGUGAAGCAUUACUUUUAGGUUUAAUAAAGUUUAAAUUAGAGUUCCCUUUGUGGAGCAGUGGAAACAAAUCCGACUAGAAACCGUGAGGUUGCAGGUUUGAUCCCUGGCCUUGCUCAGUGGCUUAAGGAUCUGGCAUUACCGUGAGCCGUGGUAUAGGUGGCAGACGUGGCUUAGAUCCCACGUUGCUAAGGCUGUGGCUGUGGCUGUGGCUGUGGCUGUGGCUGGCAGCUGUAGCUCCGAUGAGACCCCUAGCCUGGGAAACUCCUUACGCUACAGGUAUGGCACUAAAAGGCAAAAAAAAAAGGUUAAAUCAUCCUUAAGGACAGCUGGAAGUAUAUUUACAGGCAGAGAAGGCGGAUUUUUUUAGUCCUACUCCAUGCCAGGGAUUUUGCUAGUUGCUUUAUUGAGAAGAUAUAAAAAUAUAAGCCCUAUAAUCUUUAAUGUCAAAAUAGCUCUAUAUUCUUUGAUUCAGCCCUAUCUAAUAAAAACCAUGCUGAUAAUCAGAGGCUAUAAGGGAUCUUAUCAGCAAAUGUUAAUGAAAAUUAGGGAGGAUAAAAGAUUGUGGACUCAGGUCACAGCAGGAAGCAGACUUUUGAACUCUAAAGUCAUUUACUUCUCAUUGAUAAAGAUAAAAUUUUGGAAUGCUUGCAAGGCAUUUGACCUAGUUGCAGACNAGGAGUUCCCGUCGUGGCGCAGUGGUUAACGAAUCCGACUAGGAACCAUGAGGUUGCGGGUUCGGUCCCUGCCCUUGCUCAGUGGGUUAACGAUCCGGCGUUGCCGUGAGCUGUGGUGUAGGUUGCAGACGCGGCUCGGAUCCCGUGUUGCUGUGGCUCUGGUGUAGGCUGGUGGCUACAGCUCCAAUUCGACCCCUAGCCUCGGAACCUCCAUAUGCCACGGGAGCGGCCCAAAGAAAUAGCAAAAAAGACAAAAAAAAAAAGUUUCCCUUAAGAUAAGGUACUUCAAAAGUUUAGUGGCCUCACCUAUGAACAUAACAAAUAAUUCUGAAGCUAUAUAUUCUAGUUGUUUGCAUGGAAAAAGUAUAUUAUGAUUCACAAGUGUUUGCUGGCCCUCCACAGAGGAGGUUUAUAAUUUCAUGACCAGUUGAUAACAGGAUCAGCAAUCAAGUGAGAACAGAAAUGACUGAAUUCUAUUUCAAGCAGAAAAUUUAAGCAUCAGCACAGACUUUCUCUUUGUUAUGAGUUCAACAAUGUUUUGUAUCAUGAAAAUUGCAGAGGGCUCAAAGACACCAUGAAGAAGAGGCCACAGAGGUCUAUAGAGCCAUAGACCACCCCAUGAUGGACACACAAUUAAUGACAGAUCUUUGUUGUUGCAGACCACUGAGAUUUUAGAGUCAUUUGUCCCUGCAGUCUAUCCUGACCUAUUUUUACUCAGUGUUCCCCUCGCAAUCUGUAACUUCAUUUGUAUAUAAGAUAUUUAAAAUUCAUUGUUACUUUGCUAGUCAGAGAGUAUCAUAUUUUGUAUCUGACUUUCUUCCUUCAAAACGCAUGGUGACUGACACUGAUUAUUUUGUAAAACAAUGUGAAGGAUUUUUUUCUUCAACAGCAACUCUACCUGGUUCUAAAUUAAAUAGGAAGCCAACAAGGCAGGUUUCUUGUGUCCUAUAUAGGAAAAGAUUUGUGGGAUGAGUGGAUAAAAUAUAAUAACAAUUAAUUCAAGGAACAGCGACAUGUAAAUUGGUCCUUUUUGCAUAGUAUUAGUCUGUCCUUGCUAUAAAAUAAUUGUAUAAGAAACAACCUUAGAAUUUUGGUGGCUUAGAAAAUCAAUAAUUUUCCUUAUUCAUAGGUCUGUGGGACCCUUGAUAUGGCUCUACAUCUAACUGUGAGUACAGUUUAGAUAUGUUCCACAUGUUCCACAUUUUGAGAAAGUGGUAAUUCAGUGAAUUCUUUCUUCGUGUGGAACAAUAGAAGCUCAAUAGCGUAAGCCAAACCAUCCAACUAUAGUUUCUGUUUGCAUAUCUGUGCAUAUAUAAUUACUCGAAACAGGGCACAGAGCCAAGCUCAGUAUCAAAGAGGAGAAGGUAUAUUCUCUAUCUACUCUCCUAGAAGGCACAUAGCAAAGUGCAUGGACAUAACGUUAUAGUAUAAGGAGGGUGUAAAGAAUUGGAACAAAAAUACUAACUCAUCCACCAAAGAUGACUUGUUUUUGAAGAGAAAUUUAAAAGCAAAAACAAUAAACAGCAGUAAUCUCCUCUACAGUACUAAUUACCUCUGCUGAGAAUUUUACAGCAGUCUUGAGACUGAUCCAUUGAGGGUUGCUUAAACUUAAUUGUUGUAAUCAGUCAAAUCUCUGAAGCUGACUAACACAUGAUAUAGGAAUUUUUGCUAGGAAUAAAUGAUCUCUUUUAAAAAUCUAACUU
rnacentral:lncRNA from 1 species